AGACACACCACAAUGUAAUUAUGGACAUACCACUCAGACAGCCAAGCACAUUGUGUAAGAAUUUACACUUUCACCGGGCUAUAGAAUGAUUAACUAAUCUAGACCCCAGAUAUUUAACUCAAUGUAAACACAAUGCCGACUUAACCAAUCAAUUAAAAUAUAUUAAUUCCACAUCUUCUAUUGUAUUAAACUAUAUUUAUAAUAUUCAAAGUUAUACAAAUUAUAUGACAAAUAAAUAAUAUCAUAAAAUAGUACUAAUGUGUAAUCAAUAAAAUAAUACUUUUAGACUAGAAGUAAUCUACAAAAUAGAUAUGAUACGAAUAAAGUUAGAUAUU